GACGAACGCUGGCGGCGUGCCUAAUACAUGCAAGUAGGACGCAGUUGCGAACGGGUGAGUAACGCGUCGGUAACUAACUAUUAGAGGGGAAUAACUACUGGAAACGACAGCUAAUCCCGCAUACUAGUAGAUGGAACUUCGUUGUAUUAGGUAGUAGGGAGGGUAAUGGCCUACCGAGGCAACGAUACAUAGCCGACCUGAUGGGGGGAUCGGGCACACGGGGACUGAGGCACGGCCGAGACUCCUGCGGGAGGCAGCAGUAGGGAAUCUUCGGAAAUGGGGGGAACACUGACCGAGCAACGCCGGGUGAGGGAAGAAGGUUUUCGGAUCGUAAAGGUAUGUUGAUAAGGAAGCGGUACUUAAAGAGAAAGGGACGGCUAACUACGUGCCAGCAGCCGCGGUAAUAC
rnacentral:rRNA from 1 species